rnacentral:rRNA from 1 species
AGUGAACGCUGGCGGUAGGCCUAACACAUGCAAGUCGAACGGCAGCACAGUAAGAGCUUGCUCUUACGGGUGGCGAGUGGCGGACGGGUGAGGAAUACAUCGGAAUCUACUUUUUCGUGGGGGAUAACGUAGGGAAACUUACGCUAAUACCGCAUACGACCUACGGGUGAAAGCAGGGGAUCUUCGGACCUUGCGCGAUUGAAUGAGCCGAUGUCGGAUUAGCUAGUUGGCGGGGUAAAGGCCCACCAAGGCGACGAUCCGUAGCUGGUCUGAGAGGAUGAUCGGCCACACUGGAACUGAGACACGGUCCAGACUCCUACGGGAGGCAGCAGUGGGGAAUAUUGGACAAAGGGCGCAAGCCUGACCCAGCCAUACCGCGUGGGUGAUGAAGGCCUUCGGGUUGUAAAGCCCUUUUGUUGGGAAAGAACAGCAGCAGGUUAAUCCCCCGCUGUUCUGACGGUACCCAAUGAAUAAGCACCGGCUAACUUCGUG